AUUGAACGCUGGCGGCAGGCCUAACACAUGCAAGUCGAACGAGUGGCGGACGGGUGAGUAAUGUCUGGGAAACUGCCCGAUGGAGGGGUAUAACUACUGGAAACGGUAGCUAAUACCGCAUACCAUCGGAUGUGCCCAGAUGGGAUUAGCUAGUAGGUGGGGUAACGGCUCACCUAGGCGACGAUCCCUAGCUGGUCUGAGAGGAUGACCGGCCACACUGGAACUGAGACACGGCCCAGACUCCUACGGGAGGCAGCAGUGGGGAAUAUUGCACAAUGGGCGAAAGCCUGAUGCAGCAAUGCCGCGUGUAUGAAGAAGGCUUUCGGGUUGUAAAGUACUUUCAGCGAGGAGGCGUUACUCGAAGAAGAAGCACCGGCUAACUCCGUGCCAGCAGCCGCGGUAAUUC
rnacentral:rRNA from 1 species